GACGAACGCUGGCGGCGUGCUUAACACAUGCAAGUCGAACGGUAAGGCCCUUCGGGGUACGCGAGUGGCGAACGGGUGAGUAACACGUGGGUGAUCUGCCAUGCACUUCGGGAUAAGCCUGGGAAACUGGGUCUAAUACCGGAUAGGACCCUGGGAUGCAUGUCCUGGGGUGGAAAGCUUUUGCGGUGUGGGAUGGGCCCGCGGCCUAUCGGCUUGUUGGCGGGGUGAUGGCCUACCAAGGCGACGACGGGUAGCCGGCCUGAGAGGGGGACCGGCCAGACUGGGACUGAGAUACGGCCCAGACGCCUACGGGAGGCAGCAGUGGGGAAUAUUGCACAAUGGGCGCAAGCCUGAUGCAGCGACGCCGCGUGAGGGAUGACGGCCUUCGGGUUGUAAACCUCUUUCAGCACCGACGAAGCGCAAGUGACGGUAGGUGCAGAAGAAGGACCGGCCAACUACGUGCCAGCCGCCGCCGUAA
rnacentral:rRNA from 1 species